GCUAGGUUUAAUACAGUAAUAAUAUAUAUCUGCCUCUCAGAGAAAUCAGUAGUACUGAUAGGUUUAACACAGUAAUAAAAUAUAUCUGCCUCUCAGAGAAAUCAGUAGUACUGCUAGGUUUAAUACAGUAAUAAUAUAUAUCUGCCUCUCAGAGAAAUCAGUAGUACUGCUAGGUUUAAUACAGUAAUAAUAUAUAUCUGCCUCUCAGAGAAAUCAGUAGUACUGCUAGGUUUAACACAGUAAUAAUAUAUAUCUGCCUCUCAGUGAAAUCAGUAGUACUGCUAGGUUUAAUACAGUAAUAAUAUAUAUCUGCCUCUCAGAGAAAUCAGUAGUACUGAUAGGUUUAACACAGUAAUAAAAUAUAUCUGCCUCUCAGAGAAAUCAGUAGUACUGCUAGGUUUAAUACAGUAAUAAUAUAUAUCUGCCUCUCAGAGAAAUCAGUAGUACUGCUAGGUUUAAUACAGU
rnacentral:lncRNA from 1 species